CUUGCUACCCGCUGACGAGCGGCGGACGGGUGAGUAAUGCAUAGGAAACUGCCCAGUAGUGGGGGAUAGCCCGGGGAAACCCGGAUUAAUACCGCAUACGUCCUUCGGGAGAAAGCAGGGGAUCUUCGGACCUUGCGCUAUUGGAUGUGCCUAUGUCGGAUUAGCUAGUUGGUGGGGUAAAGGCCCACCAAGGCGACGAUCCGUAGCUGGUCUGAGAGGAUGAUCAGCCACAUCGGGACUGAGACACGGCCCGAACUCCUACGGGAGGCAGCAGUGGGGAAUAUUGGACAAUGGGGGCAACCCUGAUCCAGCCAUGCCGCGUGUGUGAAGAAGGCUUUCGGGUUGUAAAGCACUUUCAGUGAGGAGGAAAAGUUAGUCGUUAAUAUCGGCUAGCCUUGACGUUACUCACAGAAGAAGCACCGGCUAACUCCGUGCCAGCAGCCGCGGUAAUACGGAGGGUGCAAGCGUUAAUCGGAAUUACUGGGCGUAAAGCGCGCGUAGGUGGUUUGAUAAGCGAGAUGUGAAAGCCCCGGGCUUAACCUGGGAACGGCAUUUCGAACUGUCAGGCUAGAGUGUGGUAGAGGGUAGUGGAAUUUCCUGUGUAGCGGUGAAAUGCGUAGAUAUAGGAAGGAACACCAGU
rnacentral:rRNA from 1 species